rnacentral:rRNA from 1 species
AGUUUGAUCCUGGCUCAGGAUGAAGGGACCAGCAGGCCUAAUACAUGCAAGACGAACGGUAAGUUUGAAAGCAAUAUUGAACCUAGAGUGUCGUAAGGGUGCGUAACACGUAUGCAAUCUGCCCUCAACAGGAGAAUAGCUCCCCGAAAGGGGAAUUAACACUCCGUAAGAUCACAUAAUGGCAUCAUUGAGUGAUUAAAACUACGGUGGUUGAGGAUGAGCAUGCGCAUGAUUAGUUAGUUGGCGGGGUAACGGCCCACCAAGACGAUGAUCAUUAGGGGAACUGAGAGGUUGAUCCCCCACACUGGCACUGAGAUACGGGCCAGACUCCUACGGGAGGCAGCAGUAGGGAAUAUUGGACAAUGGGUGCGAGCCUGAUCCAGCCAUGCCGCGUGCAGGAAGACGGCCUUCUGGGUUGUAAACUGCUUUUGCCAGGGGAUAAAAAGUCCCUGCGGGGAAAAUUGAAGGUACCUGGUGAAUAAGCCACGGCUAACUACGUGCCAGCAGCCGCGGUAAUACGUAGGUGGCAAGCGUUGUCCGGAUUUAUUGGGUUUAAAGGGUGCGUAGGUGGUCUUGUAAGUCAGUGGUGAAAUCCGGCAGCUUAACUGUCGAUGUGCCAUUGAUACUGUGAGACUUGAGUACAGACGAGGUAGGCGGAAUUGACGGUGUAGCGGUGAAAUGCUUAGAUAUCGUCAAGAACACCGAUAGCGAAGGCAGCUUACUAGACUGUAACUGACACUGAUGCACGAAAGUGUGGGGAUCAAACAGGAUUAGAUACCCUGGUAGUCCACACUGUAAAC